rnacentral:rRNA from 1 species
AACGAACGCUGGCGGCAGGACCUAACACAUGCAAGUCGAACGAGAUCUUCGGAUCUAGUGGCGGACGGGUGAGUAACGCGUGGGAACGUGCCCUUCUCUACGGAAUAGUCCUGGGAAACUGGGUUUAAUACCGUAUACGCCCUUCGGGGGAAAGAAUUUCGGGGAAGGAUCGGCCCGCGUUGGAUUAGGUAAGUUCGGUGGGGGUAAUGGGCCUACCAAGCCGACGAUACCAUAGCUGGUUUGAGAGGAUGAUCAGCCACACUGGACUGAGACACGGCCCAGACUCCUACGGGA